rnacentral:miRNA from 1 species
GAACAUCGACCAAAGCUUGCAAC